UGGGGAAUAUUGCACAAUGGGCGCAAGCCUGAUGCAGCAACGCCGCGUGAACGAUGAAGGUCUUCGGAUCGUAAAGUUCUGUUGCAGGGGAAGAUAAUGACGGUACCGAAAAAGCAAGCCACGGCUAACUACGUGCCAGCAGCCGCGGUAAUACGUAGGUGGCAAGCGUUGUCCGGAAUUAUUGGGCGUAAAGCGCGCGCAGGCGGUCACUUAAGUCCAUCUUAGAAGUGCGGGGCUUAACCCCGUGAUGGGAUGGAAACUGGGAGACUGGAGUAUCGGAGAGGAAAGUGGAAUUCCUAGUGUAGCGGUGAAAUGCGUAGAUAUUAGGAAGAACACCGGUGGCGAAGGCGACCUUCUGGACGAAAACUGACGCUGAGGCGCGAAAGCGUGGGGAGCAAACAGG
rnacentral:rRNA from 1 species